rnacentral:rRNA from 1 species
GACGAACGCUGGCGGCGUGCUUAACACAUGCAAGUCGAACGGAAAGGCCCUGCUUGCCGGGUACUCGAGUGGCGAACGGGUGAGUAACACGUGGGUGAUCUGCCCUGCACUUCGGGAUAGGCUGUGAAAACUGGGUCUAAUACCGGAUAGGAGCCAUCUUUAGUGUGGUGGUUGGAAAGUUUUUUCGGUGUAGGAUGAGCUCGCGGCCUAUCCGCUUGUUGGUGGGGUAAUGGCCUACCAAGGCGGCGACGGGUAGCCGGCCUGAGAGGGUGUACGGCCACAUUGGGACUGGGAUACGGCCCAGACUCCUACGGGAGGCAGCAAGGGGGAAUAUUGCACAAUGGGCGCAAGCCUGAUGCAGCGACGCCGCGUGGGGGAUGAAGGCCGUCGGGUUGUAAACUCCUUUCGCUAGGGACGAAGCUUUGUUGUGACGGUACCUAGAGAAGAAGCACCGGCUAACUACGUG